rnacentral:rRNA from 1 species
CUACGGGGCGCAGCAGUAAGGAAUAUUCCACAAUGGGCGAAAGCCUGAUGGAGCGACACCGCGUGGAGGACGACACCUUUCGGGGCGUAAACUCCUUUUCUGAGUGAAUAAGUUCUGAAAUUAACUCAGGAAUAAGUGACGGCUAACUACGUGCCAGCAGCCGCGGUAAUACGUAGGUCGCGAGCGUUAACCGGAAUUAUUGGGCGUAAAGGGUCCGUAGCCGGAAAAGAAAGUCUGAUGUUAAAACACGGUGCUCAACACCGUGAUCGUAUUAGAAACUUCUUAUCUAGAGUUAUUCAGAGGUGCGUGGAAUUUCUUGUGUAGGGGUAAAAUCCGUAGAUACAAGAAGGAACACCAAAAGCGAAGGCAGCGCACUGGGGAUAUACUGACGGUCAGGGACGAAAGCGUGGGGAGCAAAGAGGAUUAGAUACCCUGGUAGUC